UCUCCGUUGGUGAACCAGCGGAGGGAUCAUUACCGAGUUGCACCCGACUCCCAAACCCCCCGCGAACGUUACCCCACGCGUUGCCUCGGCGGGACCGCCCCGGCGCCCCCGCGGCCCGGACCCAGGCGCCCGCCGGAGGACCCCCAGACCCUCCUGCCGCAGUGGCUUUUCCGAGUCAGAGGAACGAGCAAACGAAUCAAAACUUUCAACAACGGAUCUCUUGGUUCUGGCAUCGAUGAAGAACGCAGCGAAAUGCGAUAAGUAAUGUGAAUUGCAGAAUUCAGUGAACCAUCGAAUCUUUGAACGCACAUUGCGCCCGCCAGCACUCUGGCGGGCAUGCCUGUCCGAGCGUCAUCACGACCCUCGGGCCCCCCUCCGCCCCGGCGGUGGCGGGGCCCGGCGUUGGGGGCCAACGGCCGAGCGCCGCCCCCGAAAUGCAGUGGCGACCCCGCCGCGGCCUACCCCUGCGCAGUAGCUCCCAGAGAACCUCGCACCGGAGGCGCGGAGGCGGUCACGCCGUGAAACGACCCCCCACCACAGGUUGACCUCGGAUCAGGUAGGGAUACCCGCUGAACUUAA
rnacentral:rRNA from 1 species